GACAACCUGCUGGCUGGGUUUGAAUAUGCAGGGAUUUGACUAUUUAUUUAAUGACUUGGUGCAGGAUCUAAAUAGAUUUAUUGAUGAGAAGAGUGAAAGCAGAGGAGAAAAAAUUUAGCGGCUUUACAAGAUACUGAAAGAGCACAAGAAUCCCAAGGUUCUUAGCGAGGGGCUACUGUGGAUGGUUUCAGCAGUGGAAGAUUUUGGCAUCUCACAUUUGAAACUUAAGAUAUUAAAGGGUUUCUUUCUGAUGUUAAACAUGCACUUCUUAGUGCACUGGAUACGGAGUAUGAGAAGAAUCCAUUUGAGGGUGCAGCAGCAGCUCCAAAGAGAACUAUUAAAUCAGCAGAACCUACAUCUGCAUCUUCUGGUGGACUAGAUGGCCUGCCACGGGAAGAUAUUAGUGGGAAGAUUACACCUACCCUGCUUAAAGGCUUAGAAAGUACUGAUUGGAAGGCUCGCUUGGAGUCAAUUGAAGCUGUGAAUAAAGUUUUGGAAGAGGCUAACAAGCGCGUCCAACCCAAUGGAACUGUUGAAUUGUUUGGUGCUCUAAGGGGUCGUCUAGGUGACAGCAACAAAAAUUUAGUCAUGGCAACAUUGACAUGCAUUGGCAAUGUUGCAUGUGCAAUGGGUCCAGCUGUUGAGAAAGCAAGCAAGCGGAUGUUUUGAAAUGUUUG